AAAGAAGUGGGUAGUUUAACCUUCGGGGGGACGCUCACCACUUUGUGGUUCAUGACUGGGGUGAAGUCGUAACAAGGUAGCGCUAGGGGAACCUGGCGCUGGAUCACCUCCUUAUACGAUGAU
rnacentral:rRNA from 1 species